rnacentral:rRNA from 1 species
UAGGGAAUCUCCCACAAUGGACGAAAGUCUGAUGGAGCAACGCCGCGUGAGUGAAGAAGGGUUUCGGCUCGUAAAACUCUGUUGUUAAAGAAGAACAUAUCUGAGAGUAACUGUUCAGGUAUUGACGGUAUUUAACCAGAAAGCCACGGCUAACUACGUACCAG